rfam:Spinacia oleracea cultivar SynViroflay scaffold22057.con0008.1, whole genome shotgun sequence.
ACCAAUUCCGUAGGAGAAAAUAUGUUCCUUAUGAUGUAAUGGCUCGGAUGCUAUAUAAAUUAAUUUAUAGGAAUGUGGUUUAUCCUGAUGAGUGACUUUGGUUCUUUUGGUGUCAUGUGAUCCUGGAAAGGCUUUUAUACAGAU